rnacentral:rRNA from 1 species
UACGUAGGGGGCAAGCGUUGUCCGGAUUUAUUGGGCGUAAAGCGCUCGCAGGUGGUUCGUCGCGUCGUGCGUGAAAGACCCCGGCUCAACUGGGGGAGGUCGUGCGAUACGGGCGGACUGGAGGCCAGUAGGGGGAUGCGGAAUUCCUGGUGUAGCGGUGAAAUGCGCAGAUAUCAGGAGGAACACCGGUGGCGAAGGCGGAUCUCUGGGCCAUUACUGACGCUGAGGAGCGAAAGCGUGGGGAGCGAACAGG